GCCAGGGUGGCGUAGUGGUUAGCGUAUCUGCCUAGUGAGCAGGAGUCCCGGAUUCGAAUCCCGUCCUUGGUA